AUAUUUACCUGGCAGGGGAAAUACUAUUAUCAGUGGCUUAAAAAAAAAAGUUUUUCUAGGGUGAGAGCCUUUUAUUAUGGUUUGUUUUUCUAAUACAAUAUUUAAAAUUAAAAAAAAAAAAGUUUUUCUAGGAUGACACUUGUCUUUUGUGCUCUGGUUAUGCUGACUCCUAUGGUUUCCCCGAAUGUGGGAAACUCAACUGCAUAAUUUGUGGUAGUGGGGGACUGCAUUUGUGCUUCCCUUU
rnacentral:snRNA from 1 species